GAGGCUGCAGCUCUGUAGCAGAGCAUCGGCCUUGCGUGCAGAAGGUCCCAGGUUAAACCCCUGGCAUCUUUA